AUUGAACGCUGGCGGAAUGCUUUACACAUGCAAGUCGAACGGCAGCAUAGGUGCUUGCACCUGAUGGCGAGUGGCGAACGGGUGAGUAAUAUAUCGGAACGUGCCCAGUCGUGGGGGAUAACGUAGUGGAAAUUACGCUAAUACCGCAUACGAUCUAAGGAUGAAAGCGGGGGAUCGCAAGACCUCGCGCGAUUGGAGCGGCCGAUAUCAGAUUAGGUAGUUGGUGAGGUAAAGGCUCACCAAGCCAACGAUCUGUAGCUGGUCUGAGAGGACGACCAGCCACACUGGGACUGAGACACGGCGCAGACUCCUACGGGAGGCAGCAGUGGGGAAUUUUGGACAAUGGACGCAAGUCUGAUCCAGCCAUUCCGCGUGCAGGACGAAGGCCUUCGGGUUGUAAACUGCUUUUGUACGGAACGAAAAGGUCUCUAUUAAUACUAGGGGCUCAUGACGGUACCGUAAGAAUAAGCACCGGCUAACUACGUGCCAGCAGCCGCGGUAA
rnacentral:rRNA from 1 species